rnacentral:rRNA from 1 species
UGAGGAAUCUUGCGCAAUGGGGGAAACCCUGACGCAGCAACGCCGCGUGAGUGAUGAAGGCUCUCGGGUCGUAAAGCUCUGUCAAGUGAGAAGAACCUGCCCUUUGCUAAUAUCACUGGGCACUGACGGUAUCACUGAAGGAAGCACCGGCUAACUCCGUG